rnacentral:rRNA from 1 species
AGAGUUUGAUCCUGGCUCAGGAUGAACGCUAGCUACAGGCUUAACACAUGCAAGUCGCGGGGCAGCAUGUCGGUUGCUUGCAACCGAUGAUGGCGACCGGCGCACGGGUGAGUAACGCGUAUCCAACCUGCCCUUCACCACGGAAUAAUCCAGUGAAAAUUGGUCUAAUACCGUAUGAGGUCAUACGAUGGCAUCAGAAUAUGACGAAAGGUUUGGCGGUGAAGGAUGGGGAUGCGUCUGAUUAGCUUGUUGGUGAGGUAACGGCUCACCAAGGCGACGAUCAGUAGGGGUUCUGAGAGGAAGGUCCCCCACAUUGGAACUGAGACACGGUCCAAACUCCUACGGGAGGCAGCAGUGAGGAAUAUUGGUCAAUGGGCGAGAGCCUGAACCAGCCAAGUAGCGUGCAGGAAGACGGCCCUAUGGGUUGUAAACUGCUUUUAUAUGGGGAUAAAGUGAGUUACGUGUAGCUUAUUGC